UACGGAGGGUGCGAACGUUAAUCGGAAUUACUGGGCGUAAAGCGCGCGUAGGCGGUUCGGUAAGUGGGAUGUGAAAGCCCCGGGCUUAACCUGGGAACUGCAUUCCAAACUGCCGAGCUAGAGUAUGGUAGAGGGAGGUAGAAUUUCCUGUGUAGCGGUGAAAUGCGUAGAUAUAGGAAGGAAUACCAGUGGCGAAGGCGGCCUCCUGGAUCAAUACUGACGCUGAGGUGCGAAAGCGUGGGGAGCAAACAGG
rnacentral:rRNA from 1 species